rnacentral:lncRNA from 1 species
UGGGAAGGCAUGGAGGAGGAGCCAGGCCUAGACCCGGUUCUGGAGGCCACCUGUGGAGUUCCUUCAGCAAGUGCGAAGCAGUGCGGGCUGUGGGGUUAAAGAUGGGCUGGCAGCAGUGGGAGAGGGUGUCGGGGAGUGAGCUCUCAGGCAGGGAGCCAGUGUGGACUCUGCUUGAGACAGGAUGAGGGGGCUCAAAGCCAGAGGCAGUGGGAUGGCGUGCAAGGGAGAGCAGCCCUGGUCUUGAGCGUGGUGAGGGACAAGGAGGAAUCAGGGCGCUUCUCAGCUCUCUGCCAAGGCAGAGAAUCUGUGCUGCUUAUCAAGAGAAAACACAAGUAGGAGCAGAUCCAAAGGAUGCAAGACAGCAAGUUCAGCAACGGCAGACCAAGUGUGACCAAGGAGAUGGGUAACAGCAGCUAACCUUUGUUGAGAAUUGACUGAGAGACUUUGCAAAGCACUUUAUAUUGUCUUAUUUGAUCCACAAGACAAUUGGGUAAGGCGGAUGCUGUUUUCUCUUCUUUUUUUUUUUUUUUUGUGAGGAAGAUUGACCCUGAGUUAUCAUCUUUUGCCAAUCUUCCUCUUUUUCUUUUUGCUUCAAGAAGAUUAGCCCUGAGCUAACGUCUGUGCCACUCUGCCUCCAUUUUGUAUGUGGGUCACUGCCCCAGCAUGGCUGAUGAGUGGUGUAGAUCCACGCCCAGGAUCCGAACCCAUGAACCCAGGCUGCCAAAGCAGAGCGUGUGAAACUUAACCACUAUGCCACAGGGCUGGCCUCUCUAUUCUCUUUCACAGAUGAGAUCACUAAGGCUCAGAGAGGUGAGGGGAUUUGCCCUAGAUCACACAGCUAAAAGCAAUGGAGGCAGGAUCGGCAUUUACAUUGUUCGAUUUCAGGGUCUGGCUCCUUAGCUGUGACCCUACAAUGCCAGUAGAAACUUCAGACGUGGACCUAGAGCUGGGAAAUGAGAUUUGGGGUCCUUUUGUCGGGUGCCAUCAAGUCUGUAAGAGCAGGGUGUUUGCAGAGGUCACUUAGGGAUCGGAGGCCUCUCAGGGGCUUGACCUGCGGCCCCGGGACUGUAGCUCUGCCAAGAUGCAUGUGCCCCCUGGGACCAGGAUGUGAAUUUCAGCUGAGGCUAGGCAGCGCUAGUUAUUAAUUAUAACACAUUAAUUACGACAUUCGGGGAAUGCUCGAAAUGGAGGCCCGCAACCCUCUCCCAAGGCCAUAUCUUGUCUCAUAUUUCUCACUUGAAGCCGUAACGAAGGCCUGGAAUUAAAGGCAGGUCGGCCCUCGCUCUGGUUGGCAUUGAGGUGGGUGGGGAGAACCAUAUCAUCGCUCCUCUGACUUUCAAAUGCUGACCUUUCCACAAGAGAAGCUACAAAGACAUGUCGAGGGAUGGAGCAAGGAGCCCAGGGAAAUGCACGUUCCAACAGGAGGUUAGGACCCAAAGAAGAAGCAACACCUUGCAAUAAAUUUAGCCAAGAAACAGUGAAUUCGACUGGGCUUGUGUUUUUUAUAGAAAGACAAAGUUUGUGUUUUCAAUAAUUAUCCCACAUAAAG